UAUAAAACUAUUGAAUUUAUUGUAUUUUUUUUUUACAAUCCUAUAUACAUUAAAAUAUUCUUGCAAGUUCAAUUAUCAGAUAAAACUCGUAUUAUUUUUUUUAAAAAGAUGCAUAUUGUUUUUACAAAUUUCUCAACAGUAUCACAAAAAUAUAUUGGUAUAUGUGUUACCUCAUGUAUAAUAUAUACACGUAUACAAAAUUUUAUUUACGUAACCAACAUCCCACUUAUACCCAACGCUGUACAAUUGUGUCAAGCGGAAAUUUCCAAUCUAAAAUCCCUUCACUUAUUGAAUCUGACUAAAAACGCAGAUUUAAAAUUUUCCAAUUGAAUAAUGUUGUCAUUAACAAGCAGAAAGUAGUAGUACAAUAUUAACUUUUAUCUCAAUUGUUCCUAACAUAAAAUUGCUGUGAAAGUUGCCAUAUCAACUCCCUAUAAAGAUAAAACGAAAGUUAAAAACUAUAUAACGUCGAACUUUAAAAAGGAAUUCAAACAAGCAACAACUAUCUCAAACGUUAACAAAUUGUCUGGAUAUUUCAAUGUUUCUUUAAUUCAAACUGUAAAACAUAUGUAUUAACUAUAUUCUUUCAAUGCAAGGUAACAAAUUUUGAACAUAAUUACAUUAAUACCGUAGCUUAAAAUCUAUUCAACUGAAACAUCAGUAGUGUAUUGGCAUCCAAUAAAAUUAUGUGAAAUUAUAUCAUGAAUUUUAAUUAAUAAGAUAUUUCAUCAAUUGUGUCAAUCCUGACUUUUCUCCAAAAAUAUUUUUUGAAUGAAAAUGCCUACUCCCCACUUUCAGUUUAUAUUAUUCAAAAUAUGUCCUCGCUUGUGGAUAGAUUUACAAUUGUUUAACAGGGAUCGAUCAACAAUUACAUGAACAGAAAUAGAAUGAAAGACAGUAAAAGAGUUGUAACAGACACGAGAUCACAGAACCUGUAAGAGGACAAUGGACGAAAUGUUUUACCAUGCAUCAAUACAUAAAGGCACGGCCCACUAUGAUUUCGAAGAGAGCUAGCUAUGAAGAUGAUAGACUGUGAAAACAAAACAUGGAAGGAUUAUGAUAAGACACAUCUACUCGGAUAACUAUCAUGAGAAACACAUUUCAAUAUUUUUUCUAUAAAAAAAAAAAAAAAAAUCAAUUUUUUUUUUCUUCUUCACAUUUGGACUGACCACUGUUUCACAAGCUUAUUUAAUAAUAACAGAUUAUAUAUAUUUAUUGUUGGAUUUAAGGGGAUAAUCUUGGUGGAAAAAAAAACCUGUAAUGUUUCCUGCUAUGGAAAACUUUAAGUUAGGGAAAAUUGAUGAGACCAUGGCCAGGCUUCUGGCCCAUUUUGUUCCAAGUUCAAGCAAUCUUGAGCUCAAUACAUAUAUAUACGGUUGUUCCAACACAAAGCUUGCAGAGUUUUAACAAUUUCUCUUGAUUGUUGACAUUUCUAUGGAGGUGAAUUGCCAAGGUUUACGGGUUAUUAGUGUUGACAAGAUCAUAGAAUUAUUGACAAUGUUCUAUGACCUGAAAUUUCAACCCUUGCACAAGACGAAGAUAUUUCACUGAUCCGUAAAAAGUAAUUUCUCCAGGAAAAGAGAACAAAAAUUCCAGAUGAAAGAUGUUGAUAUCUAUUGGAAAUGAAUUUGCAGUUUAAUUAAUUUCAAUUGACAUACAAGAUUGUAGAUUUGCAGUAAAAUAAACGUGUAUUCUGUUGUAGAUAUGCUGCAAAUCGAUUCAGAAAAGCACAUUUCAUUUUGAAACUGAUGAAAAAAAUCCAACCAAUCAAAACACUCGGAAGUAUUUUUUAUCUGUUGCAUUUCCGAAACAUUUUUAAAACUAACACUUUUAUAUAAACUCUGACAACACAAUAAAAGAAACAGCUACACAGCAAACUGUUUUUUCUUAUCCCGCUAAAACAUAUUUCAUUUUCAUCCCGCUAAAAUAUAUUUCAUUCAAACGUAUAUAUGAAUAACUUCAAAUUAAAAAAUAAGUGUUAAAAUCUUGAAAUCAAAUACAGUUUAUACCUAACAACACUUCAAGACCCUGACAUAAAGAUUUAUACAAAGGAAUCGGUAACACAGUACAUGUAUACAUACUCCUUGAUCAGUGCGUUUACUCCACACAGUAUUAAAGGUGAAAGGUUAUCCCUGAGAAUUUAACCUUUAGAAAAAAUCAAUAUUACCUGUAUUUACAAUUUUCUUCAUAGAAUUUUUAUAAAAACCUGUACAUAUCUCUAUACAAAUGUAUACUAACCUACAUACACAAUGUACAAGAAUUAUAAUUAAUAACCUAAGUUUAACUACAAGUGUAUCUACAACACUUAGAAUGCAAGUUUAAGUGUCAUUAUAAUAUAAAUCAUUCAGAAAGAAUUUUUUUUUUAAAUCAAUACAGUUGUUAUACCAAAGAACUGCAAUCCCAAAUUUGAAAAUAUGUCACAGUGAUGAUUUU